rnacentral:rRNA from 1 species
UACGAAGGGGGCUAGCGUUGCUCGGAAUCACUGGGCGUAAAGCGCACGUAGGCGGGUUGUUAAGUCAGGGGUGAAAUCCCAAGGCUCAACCUUGGAACUGCCUUUGAUACUGGGGAUCUCGAGUCCGGAAGAGGUUGGUGGAACUGCGAGUGUAGAGGUGAAGUUCGUAGAUAUUCGCAAGAACACCAGUGGCGAAGGCGGCCAACUGGUCCGGCACUGACGCUGAGGUGCGAAAGCGUGGGGAGCAAACAGG